UUGAAUUUCCAGUUUUAAAUGCCACUAGCC
rnacentral:piRNA from 1 species